CCCGCCGGACCUGACUGCUAUCGGAUUGAUACUAAGCCAUGCGAGUCUUUGCAGUAAUGCAAGGCAUACGGCUCAGUAACACGUAGUCAACCUACCCUAUGGACGAGAAUAAUCUCGGGAAACUGAGUAUAAUGCCCGAUAGAACAUUAUGCCUGGAAUGGUUUAUGUUCCAAAUGAUUUAUCGCCGUAGGAUGGGACUGCGGCCUAUCAGUUUGUUGGUGAGGUAAUGGCCCACCAAGACUAUUACAGGUACGGGCUCUGAGAGGAGUAGCCCGGAGAUGGGUACUGAGACACGGACCCAGGCCCUAUGGGGCGCAGCAGGCGAGAAAACUUUGCAAUGUGCGAAAGCACGACAAGGUUAAUCCGAGUGGUUUCUGCUAAAGGAACCUUUUGUUAGUCCUAAAAACACUAACGAAUAAGGGGUGGGCAAGUUCUGGUGUCAGCCGCCGCGGUAAAACCAGCACCUCAAGUGGUCAGGAUGAUUAUUGGGCCUAAAGCAUCCGUAGCCUGCUCUGUAAGUUUUCGGUUAAAUCUGUAUGCUCAACAUACAGGCCGCCGGAAAUACUGCAGGGCUAGGGAGUGGGAGAGGUAGACGGUACUCGGGAGGAAGUGGUAAAAUGCUUUGAUCUUUCGAUGACCACCUGUGGCGAAGGCGGUCUACCAGAACACGUCCGACGGUGAGGGAUGAAAGCUGGGGGAGCAAACCGGGUUAGAUACCCGGGUAGUCCCAGCCGUAAACUAUGCAAACUCAGUGAUGCAUUGGCUUGUGGCCAAUGCAGUGUUGCAGGGAAGCCGUUAAGUUUGCCGCCUGGGAAGUACGUACGCAAGUAUGAAACUUAAAGGAAUUGGCGGGGGAGCACCACAAGGGGUGAAGCCUGCGGUUCA
rnacentral:rRNA from 1 species